CCUACGGGGGGCAGCAGUGGGGAAUAUUGGGCAAUGGGCGAAAGCCUGACCCAGCAACGCCGCGUGAAGGAAGAAGGCUUUCGGGUUGUAAACUUCUUUUGACAGGGAAGAGCAGAAGACGGUACCUGUCGAAUAAGCCACGGCUAACUACGUGCCAGCAGCCGCGGUAAUACGUAGGUGGCAAGCGUUAUCCGGAUUUACUGGGUGUAAAGGGAGCGUAGACGGCAAUGCAAGCCAGAUGUGAAAGCCCGGGGCUCAACCCCGGGACUGCAUUUGGAACUGUGUAGCUGGAGUGUCGGAGAGGC
rnacentral:rRNA from 1 species